AUUGAACGCUGGCGGCAGGCCUAACACAUGCAAGUCGAGCGGAGGAAGGGAGCUUGCUCCUGGAUUCAGCGGCGGACGGGUGAGUAAUGCCUAGGAAUCUGCCUGGUAGUGGGGGAUAACGUCCGGAAACGGGCGCUAAUACCGCAUACGUCCUGAGGGAGAAAGUGGGGGAUCUUCGGACCUCACGCUAUCAGAUGAGCCUAGGUCGGAUUAGCUAGUUGGUGGGGUAAAGGCCUACCAAGGCGACGAUCCGUAACUGGUCUGGGAGGGUGAUCAGUCACACUGGAACUGAGACACGGUCCAGACUCCUACGGGAGGCAGCAGUGGGGAAUAUUGGACAAUAGGCGAAAGCCUGAUCCAGCCAUGCCGCGUGUGUGAAGAAGGUCUUCGGAUUGUAAAGCACUUUAAGUUGGGAGGAAGGGCAGUAAGUUAAUACCUUGCUGUUUUGACGUUACCAACAGAAUAAGCACCGGCUAACUUCGUG
rnacentral:rRNA from 1 species